CGGGGGAUGAAACAUCCUUCACCUAUUCUCAAACUUUAAAUAGGCUGGACGCGUAGGUUGCUUAAUUGAACCUCCGCAAUCAAUGUGAGCUCCAAGUGGGCCAUUUUUGGUAAGCAGAACUGGCGAUGCGGGAUGAACCGAUAGUUGAGUUAAGGUGCCAAACUACGCGCUAACCUAGAUCCCACAAAGGGUGUUGAUUGAUAUAGACAGCAGGACGGUGGUCAUGGAAGUCGAAAUCCGCUAAGGAGUGUGUAACAACUCACCUGCCGAAUGAACUAGCCCUGAAAAUGGAUGGCGCUUAAGCGGAUCACUUAUACUAAACCAAUAUGACAAAUGCGAGGUCGUAUUGAGUAGGGGGGCGUGGGGCUUGUUGUGCAUUCUGUGGCGUAAGCCGGGAUGAAACGGGCUCUAGUGCAGAUCUUGGUAGCAGUAGCAAAUAUUCAAAUGAGAACUUUGAAGACUGAAGUGGAGAAAGGUUCCAUGUGAACAGCAAUUGGACAUGGGUUAGUCGCUCCUAAGAGAUAGGGUAAUUCUAUUGAAUUUUCUCAAUUUAUUGAGAGCCUAUCGAAAGGGAAGCAGGUUAAUAUCCCUGCACCGGGACGUGGAUAAAGUACGGCAACGUAACCGAACUCGGAGACGCCGGCCUGGAGCCCGAGAAGAGUUAUCUUUUCUUUUUAACGGACUUUCCCCCUGGAAUCAGGUUAACUGGAGAUAGGGGUUAAUGUUCGGGAAAGCACCUCAUAUUUGAGGUGUUCGGUGCCUUCGGGACGGCCCAUGAAAAUCCGAGGGAGAGAAUUAUUCGCACUCCCGGGCGUACUCAUAACCGCAUCAGGUCUCCAAGGUGAAAAGCCUCUAGUCGAUAGAAUAAUGUAGGUAAGGGAAGUCGGCAAAUUAGAUCCGUAACUUCGGGAAAAGGAUUGGCUCUAAGGGUUGCGUAGAAGGAGCCGUCGUGCCGAAGCAGCCGUCUAGCUGGGGACUACUGAGGACUCGCAAGGGUCUUUGGCGGACCCUAGUCUGAUGGUUGUGAACGCAAUUCGGUCGUGCCAGGCUCACCCCAGGCCUCCUCUACAAAGAACAACCAACUUAGAACUGGAGCGGACAAGGGGAAUCCGACUGUUUAAUUAAAACAAAGCAU
rnacentral:rRNA from 1 species